CUGGCGGCUCAGAUGGUAAAGCGUCUGCCUGCAAUGCGGGAGACCCAGGUUCGAUCCCUGGGUCAGA
rnacentral:tRNA from 1 species